GACGGGGGGUGCAAGCGUUAUCCGGAAUCACUGGGCGUAAAGCGUCUGUAGGUGGUGAUGCAAGUCACUGGUGCAAAACUCUGGCUCAACCGGAGGAAAGCCAGUGAAACUGCAUGAUUAGAGUGUGGGAGAGGUAGAAGGAAUUCCCUGAGUAGCGGUGAAAUGCGUAGAUACAGGGAAGAACACCGGAGGCGAAAGCGUUCUACUGGAACACAACUGACACUGAGAGACGAAAGCUAGGUGAGCGAACGGG
rnacentral:rRNA from 1 species